ACGCUGGCGGCAGGCCUAACACAUGCAAGUCGAACGCUCCGCAAGGGGAGUGGCAGACGGGUGAGUAACACGUGGGAACCUUCCCAUCGCUACGGAAUAGCUCAGGGAAACUUGGGGUAAUACCGUAUACGCCCGAAAGGGGAAAGAUUUAUCGGCGAUGGAUGGGCCCGCGGCUGAUUAGCUAGUUGGUGAGGUAACGGCUCACCAAGGCGACGAUCAGUAGCUGGUCUGAGAGGACGACCAGCCACACUGGGACUGAGACACGGCCCAGACUCCUACGGGAGGCAGCAGUGGGGAAUAUUGGACAAUGGGCGCAAGCCUGAUCCAGCCAUGCCGCGUGAGUGACGAAGGUCUUCGGAUUGUAAAGCUCUUUUGGCGGGGACGAUAAUGACGGUACCCGCAGAAUAAGCCCCGGCUAACUUCGUG
rnacentral:rRNA from 1 species